rnacentral:lncRNA from 1 species
AAAAUGAUUGAUGCUCAUCCGAUGCAAGCUGUGGUCUAUACUAUGUGCAGAAUGUGGAGUAUGAGAUUUAUGUUUUGCAAGCUGAUAGUUUGAAUAUGAAAUUUUUUUCCUUAAGGAAGAGGUGUUAUACUUUUUGGAGAAAAUUAAAGGGUGUUGAGAAGGAGAAGGCUAUAUAUAAAGAGAUGUGCAAAAGUGGUGAAAAUUAUGUUAAUAAGGAAGUUGCUCUGUUAACCAAUAUUAG